AGCAGCGUGGCUCAGUGGAAAGAGCACGGGCUUGGGAGUCAGAGGUCAUGGGUUCUAAUCCCGGCUCUGCCA
rnacentral:tRNA from 1 species